rnacentral:lncRNA from 1 species
AAAUAUCCCCGUACUCUUUUUUCCUAUUUUCUUUAUUCUUUCAUGUCGAGCUUUCGAAAGCCACUGGGGAGGGAGAAUGAACGAUCGACUGCUAAAGAUCUUGAAUAAAGCAUUGAUAGCUUUGCAGAGGAGAAAAACUUUGAUUCUUCCCGAAGGUGUUCCUUGCAUGCUGAAGUGAACAGGGGCGGUACCAACUACGACUAGAAAGCGGUCACUCCUGUCAAUGAAUACCAUUCAUAGUUGUCUAUGUUAGUAACAUAGCCAUAACGACUUUGUUUUACUGCUUGAGGUGGUGAUAGCUUUUAUAUAUUUGCUUAAUUAUAAGCUUGCAUAGUGCUCUUCCUAUUUGUUUUCUCGGCUUUCUUCUGCCGAACCGAACGAAGACUGUUUCUCGUACCUCUGUACCUAUUGCACUGAUAUCUUCUCUUUCACUCUCUUUCUUCAUUCAGGAAAGGUGAAGAUUGAAUCGGGAACCGAAAACGAAGCAGGAACAGACUUGUCCUUUGGUCGAAAAGUCUUGUACGGUUCCUCAGUCCGGGGGCACUGCAAGAACCCCUAUGACACUUGGAGAUUGCUUGCCUAUGUCACUUGUACAGUCCUCUAACAUGGUAAGUGUGCCAUAUCCAUCUUGGCUUCAAAGUCUGA